rnacentral:rRNA from 1 species
GUCCGCUCUGGGUUAGUCGGGUCCUAAGCUGAGGCCGACAGGCGUAGGCGAUGGAUAACAGGUUGAUAUUCCUGUACCACCUAUAAUCGUUUUAAUCGAUGGGGGGACGCAGUAGGAUAGGCGAAGCGUGCGAUUGGAUUGCACGUCUAAGCAGUAAGGCUGAGUAUUAGGCAAAUCCGGUACUCGUUAAGGCUGAGCUGUGAUGGGGAGAAGACAUUGAGUCUUCGAGUCGUUGAUUUCACACUGCCGAGAAAAGCCUCUAGAUAGAAAAUAGGUGCCCGUACCGCAAACCGACACAGGUAGUCAAGAUGAGAAUUCUAAGGUGAGCGAGCGAACUCUCGUUAAGGAACUCGGCAAAAUGACCCCGUAACUUCGGGAGAAGGGGUGCUCUUUAGGGUUAACGCCCAGAAGAGCCGCAGUGAAUAGGCCCAAGCGACUGUUUAUCAAAAACACAGGUCUCUGCUAAACCGUAAGGUGAUGUAUAGGGGCUGACGCCUGCCCGGUGCUGGAAGGUUAAGAGGAGUGGUUAGCUUCUGCGAAGCUACGA